GAUGGACGCUGGCGGCGUGCCUAAUACAUGCAAGUCGAACGAAACUUCUUUAUCACCGAGUGCUUGCACUCACCGAUAAAGAGUUGAGUGGCGAACGGGUGAGUAACACGUGGGCAACCUGCCCAAAAGAGGGGGAUAACACUUGGAAACAGGUGCUAAUACCGCAUAACCAUAGUUACCGCAUGGUAACUAUGUAAAAGGUGGCUAUACUACCGCUUUUGGAUGGGCCCGCGGCGCAUUAGCUAGUUGGUAGGGUAAAGGCUUACCAAGGCAAUGAUGCGUAGCCGAAUUGAGAGGUUGAUCGGCCACAUUGGGACUGAGACACGGCCCAAACUCCUACGGGAGGCAGCAGUAGGGAAUCUUCCACAAUGGGCGAAAGCCUGAUGGAGCAACGCCGCGUGGGUGAAGAAGGUCUUCGGAUCGUAAAACCCUGUUGUUAGAGAAGAAAGUGCGUGAGAGUAACUGUUCACGUUUCGACGGUAUCUAACCGGAAAGCCACGGCUAACUACGUG
rnacentral:rRNA from 1 species